rnacentral:rRNA from 1 species
AGUGAACGCUGGCGGUAGGCCUAACACAUGCAAGUCGAACGGCAGCACAGUAAGAGCUUGCUCUUACGGGUGGCGAGUGGCGGACGGGUGAGGAAUACAUCGGAAUCUACUUUUUCGUGGGGGAUAACGUAGGGAAACUUACGCUAAUACCGCAUACGACCUACGGGUGAAAGCAGGGGAUCUUCGGACCUUGCGCGAUUGAAUGAGCCGAUGUCGGAUUAGCUAGUUGGCGGGGUAAAGGCCCACCAAGGCGACGAUCCGUAGCUGGUCUGAGGGGAUGAUCAGCCACACUGGAACUGAGACACGGUCCAGACUCCUACGGGAGGCAGCAGUGGGGAAUAUUGGACAAUGGGCGCAAGCCUGAUCCAGCCAUACCGCGUGGGUGAAGAAGGCCUUCGGGUUGUAAAGCCCUUUUGUUGGGAAAGAAAAGCAGCAGGUUAAUACCCCGCUGUUCUGACGGUUCCCAAAGAAUAAGCACCGGCUAACUUCGUG